AGAUUGAACGCUAGCGGGAUGCUUUACACAUGCAAGUCGAACGGCAGCGCGGACUUCGGUCUGGCGGCGAGUGGCGAACGGGUGAGUAAUAUAUCGGAACGUGCCCAGUAGCGGGGGAUAACUACGCGAAAGCGUGGCUAAUACCGCAUACGCCCGUACGGGGGAAAGGGGGGAUCGCAAGACCUCUCACUAUUGGAGCGGCCGAUAUCAGAUUAGCUAGUUGUGAGGUAAAGCUCACCGAAGGCGACGAUCUGUAGCUGGUUUGAGGAGGACGACCAGCCACACUGGGACUGAGACACGGCCCAGACUCCUACGGGAGCAGCAGGUGGGAAUUUUGGACAAGUGGGGAAACCCUGAUCCAGCCCAGUCCCG
rnacentral:rRNA from 1 species